rnacentral:rRNA from 1 species
CCUACGGGUGGCUGCAGUGGGGAAUAUUGGGCAAUGGGCGCAAGCCUGACCCCGCAACGCCGCGUGAAGGAAGAAGGCCCUCGGGUUGUAAACUUCUUUUAUUCGGGACGAAACAAAUGACGGUACCUAAUGACUAAGCCACGGCUAACUACGUGCAAGCAGCCGCGGUAAGACGGAGUUGGCAAGCGUUAUCCGGAUUUACUGGGUGGAAAGGGCGUGGAGGCGGGAGAGCAAGACAGACGUGAAGUUCCAGGGCUCAACCGUGGAACUGCGUUUGAAACGGUUCGUCUUGAGUGUUGGAGAGGCAGGCGGAAUUCCGUGUGUAGCGGUGAAAUGCGUAGAUAUACGGAGGAACACCAGUGGCGAAGGCGGCCUGCUGGACAGUAACUGACGCUGAGGCGCGAAAGCGUGGGGAGCAAACAGGAUUAGAUACCCCUGUAGUC